AUUGAACGCUGGCGGCAGGCCUAACACAUGCAAGUCGAACGGUAACAGGAAGAUGCUUGCUUCUUUGCUGACGAGUGGCGGACGGGUGAGUAAUGUCUGGGAAACUGCCUGAUGGAGGGGGAUAACUACUGGAAACGGUAGCUAAUACCGCAUAACGUCGCAAGACCAAAGAGGGGGACCUUCGGGCCUCUUGCCAUCGGAUGUGCCCAGAUGGGAUUAGCUAGUAGGUGGGGUAACGGCUCACCUAGGCGACGAUCCCUAGCUGGUCUGAGAGGAUGACCGGCCGCACUGGAACUGGGACGCGGUCCAGACGCCUGCGGGAGGCAGCAGUGGGGAAUAUUGCACAAUGGGCGCAAGCCUGAUGCAGCCAUGCCGCGUGUAUGAAGAAGGCCUUCGGGUUGUAAAGUACUUUCAGCGGGGAGGAAGGGAGUAAAGUUAAUACCUUGGCUCAUUGACGUUACCCGCAGAAGAAGCACCGGCUAACUCCGUG
rnacentral:rRNA from 1 species